GGGCGCUGAGAUUCUCGAAGGACUCGGAGCUUUCAUCAUUUACUGAACUCUGACGGGAAAAGGAUGUCUGAUUGCUGACAUGCUGACAACUUGGAAGGUUCUCAG